rnacentral:rRNA from 1 species
CGGAUAUCUCGGCUCUCGCAUCGAUGAAGAACGUAGCGAAAUGCGAUACCUGGUGUGAAUUGCAGAAUCCCGCGAACCAUCGAGUCUUUGAACGCAAGUUGCGCCCGAGGCCUUCUGGCCGAGGGCACGCCUGCCUGGGCGUCACGCCAAACACGCUCCCACCCCACUAAACAUGGGGCGGGAUGCGGCAUGUGGCUCCCCGUCUCGCAAGGGGCGGUGUGCCGAAGAUCUGGCUGCCGGUGUAUCGUGCCGGACACAGCGCGUGGU